rfam:Dipodomys ordii contig_13137, whole genome shotgun sequence.
GGUGGCUUAGUGGUAGAGUGUUUGCCUAGCAUGCAUGAAGUCCUGGGUUCGAUUCCCCAGUACCA